rnacentral:rRNA from 1 species
GAGAGGGCGACCGGCCACACUGGGACUGAGACACGGCCCAGACUCCUACGGGAGGCAGCAGUGGGGAAUAUUGCACAAUGGGCGAAAGCCUGAUGCAGCGACGCCGCGUGAGGGAUGACGGCCUUCGGGUUGUAAACCUCUUUCAGCAGGGAAGAAGCGAAAGUGACGGUACCUGCAGAAGAAGCGCCGGCUAACUACGUGCCAGCAGCCGCGGUAAUACGUAGGGCGCAAGCGUUGUCCGGAAUUAUUGGGCGUAAAGAGCUCGUAGGCGGCUUGUCACGUCGGAUGUGAAAGCCCGGGGCUUAACCCCGGGUCUGCAUUCGAUACGGGCUAGCUAGAGUGUGGUAGGGGAGAUCGGAAUUCCUGGUGUAGCGGUGAAAUGCGCAGAUAUCAGGAGGAACACCGGUGGCGAAGGCGGAUCUCUGGGCCAUUACUGACGCUGAGGAGCGAAAGCGUGGGGAGCGAACAGGAUUAGAUACCCUGGUAGUCCACGCCGUAAACGUUGGGAACUAGGUGUGGCGACAUCCAC